rnacentral:misc_RNA from 1 species
AUGACACAGAGAAUGAUUUUGACACAGGAAGAGAUGGAGGAGGUUGUUUUAAAGAGGUGUUGGCUCGCUCGCUAUUGGGGCUUAGCUGUUCAAUAUGGCAUAUGUGCGGAUAUAGCAAUCUCAAAACAUGAGUAUUGGUCUUCUUUAGCUCCUUUGCCAUUCGAAGUUGUAAUUUCUGCAGGACAGAAGGCUAAGGAGGAGCCUGAAGGUCGAAAUGAUCAAGAUAGGAGU